rnacentral:rRNA from 1 species
GGAAUAUUGGACAAUGGGCGAAAGCCUGAUCCAGCAAUGCCGCGUGAGUGAUGAAGGCCUUAGGGUUGUAAAGCUCUUUUACCAGGGAUGAUAAUGACAGUACCUGGAGAAUAAGCUCCGGCUAACUCCGUGCUAGCAGCCGCGGUAAUACGGAGGGAGCUAGCGUUGUUCGGAAUUACUGGGCGUAAAGCGCACGUAGGCGGCUAUUCAAGUCAGAGGUGAAAGCCCGGGGCUCAACCUCGGAACUGCCUUUGAAACUAGAUAGCUUGAAUCUUGGAGAGGCGAGUGGAAUUCCGAGUGUAGAGGUGAAAUUCGUAGAUAUUCGGAAGAACACCAGUGGCGAAGGCGACUCGCUGGACAAGUAUUGACGCUGAGGUGCGAAAGCGUGGGGAGCAAACAGG